rnacentral:rRNA from 1 species
GAUGAACGCUAGCGGCAGGCCUAAUACAUGCAAGUCGAACGGUGUCUUCGGACAUAGUGGCGCACGGGUGCGUAACACGUAUGCAACCUACCUUACAUUGGGGGAUAGCCUUUCGAAAGGGAGAUUAAUACCGCAUAAGACAGUAGCUGGGCAUCCAGCAGCUGUUAAAGAUUUAUCGAUGUAAGCUGGGCAUGCGUCCAAUUAGCUAGUUGGUGAGGGAACGGCUCACCAAGGCAAUGAUUGGUAGGGGAACUGAGAGGUCAAUCCCCCACACUGGCACUGAGAUACGGCCCAGACUCCUACGAGGGGCAGCAGUAGCGAGUAUUGCGCAAUGUACGCAAGUCUGACCCAGCCAUGCCGCGUGCAGGAUGAAGGCGUUAUGCGUUGUAAACUGCUUUUAUACAGGAAGAAACGACUCUUGCGAGAGGCAUUGACGGUACUGUAUGAAUAAGCACCGGCUAACUCCGUGCCAGCAGCCGCGGUAAUAC